GGCAGGCGAAGAAUACAUUUAUAACCAAAACAUUUAGAUCAUCUUCACCUGAUCUCACAUAUAGUCAUAUUGCAUCUCCUAAGGGAGUAUCAUAAAAUAAAGUUAGGAUAUAGGAGAGUACUAUUAGAACAAAUUACUUAAAACUUGUCUCACAUAUUUUGUUUGGGAUGGAGAAGAGGGGGUUGUCUCCUUUAUUUAGAAAAAAUGAUUCUUCUUUUAGGAGAUCUCUUAAAAAAUAUAGGUGGAUAGGAGAUAAGAGAUUUGCGAAUUAAGUGUAGCUUAGCUGGUUAAGUUUCUUAUAGCCUCAACUUGAUAUGGGUGUGCGCUCACAUUUUUCUAGAUUCAUUCCAGGAUUUAACCCAUCAACAACAAGACACCUGGUCUUUAUUAUCCCCUAAAAAUACUACUUUUUAUGUAUUAUUAGAUUGUAUAGGAUAUCUAAUGGAGAUGCUCUUGGCCCAUUUAGCAUAGCUCUAUACUCGAGGAUUUUUUUAUUUUAUUUUUUAUUUUUGCUUUCGGCUCCACGAGCUGAUUCUCCUUGUGAACUAAAAUUGUAUAAAUCCAGACCAUACGCAAAUAAUAUUAAGUCUACCUGGUGAACAUGUUUUACUGCAAAGAAUCCAACUAGCAGAGCUAUACUCAGUUUAAUUUAGUUGAUUGUUUGGUAGACCUUGCAAGAACUAUUAAGGAAUUGCAGCACGUUAUUGAGUUCUUAUAGAAAGUUAUUGGCUCUAAAACUAUGGUAACAUGGAUGUAUAUUUUUUAGUUUAAGCACACGUAGAACCAGAAAUGCUUUGUUUCAAAUGGAGGAGGUCAGGUUAAUCGCAUUUGAUUUAAUUAGUGGAAAAAAGUCUACAUAACCUUAGUUCCCCAAAAAUUUUGCAAAAUUUUUCAGAUUCUCCGUCACAUCGAAUCUUUAGACGUAUGCAUAGAGUAUUAAAUAUAGAUGAAAAUAAAAACUAAUUGCACAGUUUGGUCGGAAUUGACGAGAUGAAUCUUUUGAGCCUAGCUAGUCUAUGAUUGGACAAUAUUUGUCAGAUUCAAACGAAAGUGCUACAGUAUCGAUUUUCCAAAAUUUUUUGGAACUAAACAAGGCCUAGAGUGAACUACUUUACCCCCGAACUAUAAAACCGGAUAUUCUACUUCUGAACUUUGAAAACCUGUCAAAUAACCCCCUCGAUUAGUUUUGGAGGGUGGUUUUGUUUAUUUUAUUUAUUUAUUUUUGCUGAAUAUUUAAAAAAUCAUAAUAAGUUAUAGAAAAAUCAUAAAAUAAAAAAUUAAAUUUUGUUGGACUCCUGAUGAGAAGAUCUACAUAAUGAGUAU
rnacentral:lncRNA from 1 species